AUAAUGAGAAACAAUCCGAGAGUUUUCGAAACAUUGGCUCAAAACGCUCCUGAGUUUUGACCCUCGUAUUGCGUGGAAGGGUAAAAUCAUCUCAUUCCAAUUCUCGGAAGAACGUGAGAGGAGAAAGAUUCGGAAAUUGCUCGCGUCAGUCUUUUGUGGUCCAGCUUUUUUUUGGUCUCCUUCCCGAUCAUUGGAUGAAUGGCAAGUCUCUGUUAUCUCGCAAGUCGAGAUAAAAAGAAGCCCAAAUUUCCAUGAGUCAUGAAGAGCAAGGACAGCAAGUGACCUGAUUUACCCGCACAAAAGAGCCGUGUGCCGAUCCCGAUCUAUCUAUUUGGUUAGCAGGCUUUGACCUUGUUCAAAUAGGCUUUCGUGGUUUUGCGGUGCGAGGAUGCCACCUUGGACAACUCCCUUCUGGUCGUCUUGGAGCUUUGAAUGCUUGUAUGCCAUUACGUGAUAUCGCUUUUUGCCAACCAGUAAAUAAUAAGCCCCCCCCCCUCAUGAAACUGACACAAAGUCAAUUCCCUUCAACAACGAUAUGGUCGUACCCAAACCUUCAGCUUGGAGGGGCAAUAGUCUCGAGUUUGUGGUGGUGAACUCAAAUCUCACCUGGAAUACCAAAUCAGGUUUCUCUCUCCUACUUUGUCGCCAAGACCAAGGAGUGCUUGGGUUGACCCACUCUCGCCAAACUCGAAUCCAACGGAGGACUGUGUUGCCCAUGACUAAACCCUCUGGAUUGUGGAGACACUUUUUUGUUGAAACCAUUUGAACUUUCGAAAAAACCUGAGAUGUUUUAACAACUCUAUUUAAAAAUGGG